UACGGCCGCAUCACGUUGGAACACUAGUUCUUAUACAAUCACCAAAAUUAAGCAACAUUGAGCCUGGUCAGUACCCAAAUGGGUGACUGCUUGGGAAUAGCAGGUGCUGUAA